rnacentral:lncRNA from 1 species
UACCCUCAUUUUUUCAAAUCCACUUGGAUAUAUGUGUGAACGUGUCAACUUGGGUGCAACUUUUAAUGUUAAGGCACUGCUGUCGACCUUCCAGAUCG